rnacentral:rRNA from 1 species
GUAGGGAAUCUUCCACAAUGGACGAAAGUCUGACGGAGCAACGCCGCGUGAGUGAAGAAGGUUUUCGGAUCGUAAAGCUCUUUCGUUAGGGACGAACGUGCUCUUUGUGAAUAAUGAGGAGUAAUGACGGUACCUAAAUAAGAAGCCACGGCUAACUACGUGCCAGCAGCCGCGGUAAUACGUAGGUGGCAAGCGUUGUCCGGAAUUAUUGGGCGUAAAGCGCGCGCAGGCGGGAUAUCAAGUCUGUCUUAAAAGUGCGAGGCUCAACCUCGUGAGGGGACAGAAACUGGUAUUCUUGAGUGUCGGAGAGGAAAGUGGAAUUCCAAGUGUAGCGGUGAAAUGCGUAGAGAUUUGGAAGAACACCAGUGGCGAAGGCGACUUUCUGGACGAUGUCUGACGCUGAGGCGCGAAAGCUAGGGGAGCGAACGGGAUUAGAAACCCGUGUAGUCC